rnacentral:lncRNA from 1 species
AUCGUGGGCCACGGGGGGGCGCGUCCGUUGAUCGAGAUCUGCCGCUCCGGCGACUCCGUCUCGCAGGCGGCGGCGGCGUGCGCGCUGAAGAAUAUUUCGGCAGUACCGGAGGUCCGGCAAACCCUAGCCGAAGAAGGUAUUGUGAAAGUGAUGGUGAAUCUUCUAGAUUGCGGGAUUCUUUUGGGGGCGAAGGAAUAUGCCGCCGAGUGUCUUCAAAAUCUCACUUCUAGCAAUGAAGACCUAAAAAGAUCGGUUAUUUCCGAAGGUGGAUUGAAGAGUCUUUUAUGCUACUUAGACGGACCGCUGCCUCAAGAAUCGGCGGUCGGGGCGGUGAGGAAUCUUGUGGGGUCCGUCUCGACGGAGGUUUUAUUCUCCGCUGGGGUCCUACCGAGGCUCGUGCACGUGUUGAAAUCCGGUUCUAGUGGGGCCCAAUUGGCCGCUGCUUCCGCCAUGUGUCGGAUUUGUGGCCACUCGAUCGAGAUUAAAAAAUCAAUCGGUGAAAUCGGUGCGAUCCCGUUUCUCGUGAGGAUGUUGGAGGCGAAGGGUAACAGUGCGAGGGAAGUUGCGGCUCAAGCGAUUGCGAGUCUUAUGAGCGUUGCAUACAACUGUAAAGAAAUCAAGAAAGAUGACAAGAGCGUGACGAAUUUGGUGGCAUUGCUCGAUCCGAGCCCACAAAAUUCGGCGAAGAAGUACGCGGUUUUGUGUUUAGGGUUGCUUUCGACGAGCAAAAAGUGUAAGAAGCUGAUGGUUUCGUAUGGGGCGAUUGGUUACUUGAAGAAGUUGAGUGAGAUGGAGAUCCCGGGUGCGAAGAAGCUUCUUGAACGUCUCGAGAGAGGGAAAUUGAAGAGUAUGUUCACCAGGAAGUAGUUUUCUUCUUUAUUUUUUUGUUGUUGUUGUUGUAACAUUAUUGUUAUUAUUAAUUUCUUUUUUAUUGUUGGAUGCUUUGUUUAGUUCAUUUACUGAAUGAAACGAAACGAAAGUAGUGACAGCAAUCAAUCCUGGUAUUUAAUGUUAUGUGUAAAGGAAUAAUUAUAUGAACUUUCUUAUGACAUGUUCUUGCAUGUUUUUAAGUACCUAUAUCAGGUUAUUUACAUCAGGUGGAUUUGAACUGUAAAUUUGAUUAAAUAAUUAUUCACUAAAAUUACAUACAAAUGGGUGUGCGUAUGAUUAUGUGCAGAUUUACGGUCCAAAUUUAACUCGUAUAGAUAAUCAGGUGUAACAUCUAAUUUCGUAUUUUUUUUGUUAUGUUAUUGGAUUUUAUUGGCUGAAUUGGAAAAGAAUGUCAUGUGAGACCAUAUGACAUCAAAUAAGAUAGUGUUUGGUUGUAUAGAAUCACUAGCAUUUGGGCUGUUUUCUUACCAAACCUGUCCCCACCAUUAUGUAAGAUACACAAACACUUUAAUUGUUGAAUAUAUAUAUUUGUUAGAUAAACUAUACGUAAAAAGAAUUAAGCUCAAUUCAGCACAAAUAUUCGAUCAGAACAAACCACAAUUAAGAACAGUCCGUGCACAAAAAAUCAAAGCAAAAAAAGAAAACUCUAAUUUCUAUAAGAACACUAGCAUGAGAAAUCUAAUCUGAAAUUUAACGAAACAAUUGUAAUUGAAGGAUGAACGAGAUCUUUACUCAAUCAAUAAGAACACGAGUUUACAAAAAGAAUCAACAAGGAGAUCAAAACUACAGAGAUUUCCUUCAACAAAUCUCCACUGUUUUCUCUUUCUCUCGCUGAAUACAACGUUUUUUCUCUUUCAAUUCUAAUUAAAGAUAGUUUCUCCUCCUGUUAUAUCCUCCCAGAAGUUAGUUUCAUCCGCAAGUCUUUAGCAUGCGUGUCUUGAACUUCACAUCAGCAAGACAGUUAGUUGUUAUUCACCAGUGACCGAUCAUCCAGUGCAUGUACAAUUAGUUGUUUGCAUGGCGCUCUUCAGAUUCUACAUAGUGGAUGUGUGUAAGUUGAUAGUUAAUAUUUAACAUAGUGAGAUACUACAUAGUGAAAUUACAUGGAUCAAACUCCGUUGGAAAAUGACUUAUUAACCCUCCCAAUAAUUGGGUGUAUAAUAAUAAUAAUUUCUUGAUGAACAAUAACAUGUGCAUACUUUGUUUUUUUUUAGGCAAAAACAUUACACGUUUGUACAUAAUUGCAGGCUCUCUAAUUUAUUAAGAACCGCUUCUUUAGGAGACACUGCAGCUUCGUGUAAUUUUUUAAUUGGUGUAAGUAUUGAUUCAAUAAUUAUUUUUUUACAAUUAUUUGGCCAUGAUUCAAUCAUGAUUUAUGAUAAUUAAUUAAUUGGUUAAUUAAUUUAUAGAGACAUUGGAAUAAGUGUGUGACAUUCUUUUAAUUUUGAGCCCAUUAAAUCAGCUUAUUGGGAUAUAAUGGGCUUAAAAUACAUUGGGCCCAUCAUCCGGUCUUUUAUUUUGAAAUUCAUAAAGAGGCCCAUUAAACAAAUAAAGGUAAAUUAUAGUCACCCCUGACGACAUUAUCAAAUUACGAAAAACCCUAAUUUUUUUUGGGUAAUUACAACCACUUCCUCGACUGUGAAUCUUCUUAUAUGUCCACCCUUAAGGUGUCAAAAUUAAUAUAAUUUUGUAGAUUCUAUGGAAUUUUGUUUAGUUUGUACUCGUUUUGUGAAAAAAUGCAGUUUUUGAUGCACCAUAAUCUAAAAUAUACAAGCCAAGAGACACUUAAUAUGAUCAUCUUGUUUCAAAAUGUAGAACUCGAAUGAGAUAAAAUGGGUACAUUGGAAUAUAUUGGGCCCACCGUCCGGUCUUUUACUUUGAAAUUCAUAAAAAGGCCCAUUAUAAAAAUAAUAUUAAGAAAUAAUUUAUUUAGUUUUUUACUAUAAAUAAAAGAAUUAUAAAUGGUGGAAUAAAAAAAGAGAGGACCAAAACACGCCUUUGGCAUUUAUCAAAUCAUAUCAUCAUCAUCGUCAUCACCAAACACUGUUGCUUUCUCGCACUAGAAAACACAGAUGAAAUGAAAGUUUAGAGAGAGAGAAAAUAAUAUAAAAAUCAAUAUUGUAGAUUUCAAGGCGGAAGGGUGCGGCACAUUUCCCGGUAACAACAACCACUCCCCAUCUGUAUCUAAACAUAUAUAUAUAUAUAUACACACGCACUUGUAUGUACGUAGGUAGUAGCCCUAAUUUUUGAAUUCCUCUCUCGAUUGGUACUGCUUUUCCAUUUUAGGUACGGAUUUGUAUUGUUCGUUUGUUACUGGUUUAGCUCACCGUUUAUCUGUUUGAUUGUUUUUUUGAGCUGAUGAAUGAUUAUGAUUGGUUAAUUCAAUAUGUAUAGAUGGUGAUUUCGAAAAAAAAUCUUUAGUUUUGGGUGAUUUUAUUGUUUGUGUUACUAUCUUGUUAGAGUACUGGGCCGUGGUUUUUCUGCAGGUGUGAUGGUUGCUAAAUUGUUAUGUAUUUUAAAAGCAUUGAUUACGGUCUACGCAAUCGAAUAAUCGAACAGUUAUUUUCGUCGAUUUUCAAGAGCGAAGACGACUGUUGUAAACAUUUUGUACAUAGGGUUUAUAUUUAUUGAGCUUGAUUAUUCAGGAUGUAGGCAGUUUUUGCUCAACCACUCUAUAAAUUAUUUCUUCUUUGUUGUUAUCCAUCGGGAGCUCCAUGAAAUUAAACCUCAGAAUUGUAGUAUUGUAGUAGCUAUUUAUAUUUUCGUUGGCACUCUUUAUUUCUUGAUUGUUUACUUUGUAAGUGAUACCAGACCAUUUACACGUGUUCUACACUCUUCACCUCAAACAAAUGGUAAUUAGAAAGAAAUUGAAUAACCGUUGUAGAAAAUUGAAGAGAUCAUUACUUUAGGUUGUCUGUGUUAACUUUGACUGAAACUCUGUCUGAGAUGGACAGAGUUUAAUGUUAGUGUUUUUGCAGCUGACGACUCUUUCCAUACCAUAACGAAAUCGAUGAAUUGUAGUUAAAUAUUUUUGUUACUUUUGUAUGUUAAAGAACAAGUUAAUGAGCAAAAGUCAAGAAAUACUACAAAAUCUGCACGCGUUGCAGUUCUCUUAUUCUCUUAUGUUAAUUAGAACUAUUCCAGUUUGGGUUCUAAUGUCUUAUUGUCUUGGAUUAAAGCACUAUUCCUCCUGUAAUAUUCGUACCUUGUUCAGGUUCUUCUAGAUAAAACAUGAGUUCGCUAGAUGUUGCCAGAGCUGAGCUCGCCCUUGCCGUUUUAUAUCUGAGCAAAGGUGAAGCAAGGGAUAAGAUAUGCAGGGCAAUACAAUACGGUUCAAAAUUCGUGAGUAAUGGAGAGCCAGGCACAGCACAAAACGUUGACAAAACGACCAGCUUGGCUCGAAAAGUAUUUCGUUUGUUCAAGGUUAGCUUUUAGAAUAAGGAACCGGGGAAUUUUAGAAGAGCUGUUUUAACCUCUCAUCUAUGUCAUCUCUUUGGUCUUAACCCUUUUUAUUUAUUUUGUUAUUUUACAGUUUAUCAACGAUCUGCAUGCUCUCGUUAGCCCAAAUGCUCCAGGAACUCCACUUCCUCUAAUUUUGCUCGGGAAGGUAUUGUCUCUUUAAGUAGAUUAUUCCUACCUAAUCUUUGUUGGUAUUUUAGUAAUUUUACCCUUUUAGAUGGUAUUUAUUGCAGUCCAAAAAUGCCCUAUUGUCAACUUUCUUGUUUCUGGAUCAAAUUGUGUGGCUGGGUAGGACCGGCAUAUACAAGGUAUAUCUUAAAACUUGUCUAGUUCAACAGAUUUUUUUAUGAAGAUUUUUUUUGAACGAGCAAAAUGUUUAUGAAUGCAGAACAAGGAACGUACAGAACUGCUUGGAAGGAUCUCUCUUUUCUGUUGGUUGGGUUCUUCUGUCUGUACCACACUCGUUGAGGUAUUAUUUAUUUGUUUUAUUUUUUCAGCGGUCAACACGUUUGAAUAAUUGCUGUGCUGUUAUUACUUACUAAGCUAUGUAUAUUUCUUGUUGUGGUUUAAGAUUGGGGAAAUUGGAAGGCUUUCAGCAUCAACGAAGAAGUUAGAGAAGGCACUUAAGAAUACCGACAAGUACAAGGUUCGCGAUUUCUUGAAAAUAUAACAAUUAGUUACGGAAAAUUCCAACCUCAGAAAUCUACUUAUUUUUUCAUAACAACAGAACGAAGAAUAUCAGAGUAAAGUGAAGAAAUCAAACGAGAGAACUAUAGCCCUCGUUAAAGCAGGGUUGGAUUUGGUAGUUGCUGUGGGUUUGCUUCAAUUAGCACCCAAGAAAAUCACUCCUCGUGUAACGGGUGCAUUUGGAUUUACGAGCUCUCUCAUCUCUUGCUAUCAGGUUAUCUUCAUUUUACUAUAUUUUGUGUAAUGUUGACUGAAAAAACGAUCGUAAAUUUACUUACAUAACUUUGACUUGUGUUUGUGUGCAGUUGCUUCCGUCUCCACCGAAGACUAAGACAACCUGAAGUUGAGGUUAAACGAAAGCCUCGAAUGUAAUGCAACAAUGAUUUACACUAGGGCGAAGCUGUAUGAAUGAAUGAAUGAAUUUGAGCAAAAUUUACUGAAGUGUUUGUUCAUUUUGCUGCACAAUAGUAAUAGCAAUAAUAAUGUAUACAGCAUCCUUUUUUAUGUUUCUGUUGGAACCAAAUAAUAAAUUUAUGUUUUGCUGCCCUUUUCAAAUGUUUAUUUAUAUUGUACAAGAUUUACAUACAUUGGGAAAAAACCAGAAAAGAAAUGAACAUUUUAGUUUAAAUAUGCUUAAAUAUGGGGACUGAAUUGCAAAUUUCUAAAAACCAUUAAACCUAGUUCCUUUGUCCAUUAACAGCGACCAACCCUUUAAUUUUUAUCGUCCUAAAAGGAAACUGAGUAGUAAAAACUGUUACAGAUGACGGCGGCGGCGCAGGAGAGAAAAGAGGUGGCUGAGCGGUGGUGGAUUGGAGAAGCGGCGGCGACUGGUUUGGCAGAUCAAGCAUUUGAAGGCCGCUAUUUUUGCUGGGCGGAGGUGAUUUUCUGGAAUUGCUGUCUGUCACAGAGAAAGAGAAAUCUCAGAGGUUUUCCGGCGAAUUGGUUUCUCCCGAAUUCGGAAUUUCGCCGGAGAAUCGGUUGUUGUGAGGUAUGAGUAUGGGUGAAGACCUCCGGCGCGAUUUUUCCCGGCGAAUUGGUGGCGUGUGUGAGUUUGUUUUCAUUGAAGCUUUCCUGGCUGGCUGGGGGCAAUUCUGCCAUUUCACAGGCAAAAAUGAAGAGAAAAAUCGCUCCAGCUGCGCGUGAAAGACACGUGGGGUACGGAUACCUUGACUUUUUUUUAGCCUGGGGGUACAUGGGUCAUAUGUUUUUUGACGGGGGUUAUUUACGAAUUAGGUAUUUCAAAGGGGUACCUAUUGCAAUUAACUCAAUAAUAAUAAUAAUAAAUUGGUUACUUAGUAGCAGUUACCCGAUAUAUUCCCGCUAAAUUCAACUAACUGCUCACUGAUGGCAGUUAAGAAUUAAGAGUUCUCACCAUUAAUAUAUUCAAUCUUCUGUUAUAAUUCUCUCUCCAUUUGUUCUUCAAGAGAAAAAAAAACUCAACAGCACAAUAUUUUCGAGUUCUGAUCUUCAAGAAAGCUCUGUUUCGAUUCUUUCUCUGGAUUCUUCGGGUCAGGUACAAGCCAUUUUGUGUUCCGAUUUUUUUCAAGCCAUUUAGAUCCUUUAGUUGUUUUAUGUUCUACAGAUUGAUAACAUUUGCCGUUUAUUGAAUUUUUCUGCUUCAUAUAUACAUACAUAUAUAUGGUAAUCUAUUCUUGUAUAUGUUCUUGAAUUAUGAAUCUUGUUGAAUUAUAUUCAGUACAAUCCACUAAAUUUGAUCUGCUUUCUCAUGCAGGUUCUGAGUUUACGUGCAGCGACCUUUAGAUUCGAAACUUAAAGAAGGAUUUCAUUAGCAAUGCAUCGUAAUCAGCAAGCCCAGAUGCAGCCAAACUUCUUCGGAGUAUGUUGGUUUAAUUUUAAGAAGCACAUUGAUGCUCAACAAGAGUAUUAUCGUCCUGUGAGUCAUACAUUAUUUAGUCUGCUAUAUAUUAUUCAAAGAGAAUUGUCUUUAGUUCUUGACAAAAAUGUGAUGGCAGCCUCACACCGGUUAUUGGAGUAAUUUUGUUCACGAUUUGUACGACACGAGAGCAGUGGAGAAGUUGUGUGUCGAUAAAUGCAAAGACAUUCAGAUGUGCAAAAACCCGAUUUGUAUGGAAGUUGAAGGGGUACGUACAUCUCAUGCCAAUAUAUCGUUUUUUUUUUUUUUUUAUUUCAAACAGCAUCUAAUUGACUAAUUCUGUAUCGAUUUUAUUUGUCAAACAUUGAAUGUUUCUUUUUUCUUUUUGUGGGCUCAGUAUGCUCGGAAAUGCAAUAUCUGUGGGUCGUCGUCGAAUAGAAUUUUUGGUAAGUGAUUUAAAGUAAUGAUCGAUCUUUCUUUAUCGAAUUAAACGGGAAAUUACUGUAUUAUGAUUUCUUAUAGUAUACUUUAUUAGGGCAAAUAUGAAGUGUGUUAUAACUUAUAUAUAAUAAUGGAGGUUGAUUUCUGAAUACGUAGAGGCAAAUCACAAGUCACUGCCACAUGUGCUGGAGUCUAAAUACCAGACCGGUCUAAUGAGUGAUGUCAUCCUUUAUGGCACGACUCGAGAAGAAUUCUUACCGAAUGGAAACUUUUUGCUGGAAUCCAGAAAUACUGUUAGACAUAUGAAAUACGCAGACUUUACCGUAGUUUACGAAGGAACACUUGGUGUGGUGUUCAACAAGAUUAAUGCCAAGGUAUAACUGAAGUUUCGCAAUAUGUAUAUUUUUUACGAAGAUAUAUAUAUAUAUAUAUAUAUAUAUAUAUAUAUAUAUAUAUACACACACACACACACACACACUAGAUUAAUGUUGAAACUGUUUGUAUGUUUAUAUGAUUAUUAAUGCAGAUAUUAUCAUGGAACUUUUGUGCUAAAAAUGUUCAAGUCCUUGUUCCAGGUCAUCAAAUAUCGAAAUAUAUGGUAUGUAUAAUGUAUUAUUCUACAGCUUUCUCGUCGACCACUGCAGCAAUCUUGUCUGAAAAAAAAACCAUUUUUUUUUUUUGCUUUGAAUUCUUUUUGCAGCCACCAGGAGUGCAGCUGACUCGGUCUGUAGCAAUCAGUGUUGGGGGGUAUAUAUGUACCAUUUCUUAUUUGGCUAUAAAUUUCUUAGAUAAUGCUCUCCUGGUUUUAUACAUUGCUUGAUUUACGUCAGAUUUGAGAUUUACGCUGCUAUCUAUGGGGUUGAUAUCGAUUCUCAUAUAGACAGAUUUGGUCUUCCUCGGUUGUAUACUAGAUCCUUUAUGGUGAGGACGAACGAAACGUGUGUAUAUAUAUAUAUCCUUAAUAUUUAUUUCUGUUCACUCUUGAUCUGACCAUAUUUGUAUGUUUUCUCAGCAGCUUGAUAAUUUUGUUCCUAGUAAUGAUAACGACACGGGUAGUCGACCAACUGGUACGUACUACAGUGCAACUAUAUAUUUACAUCGUUUUAGUUCUUGAUUUUUCGUUCCGUUUAAUUUCUUCAUGUGAACUUGCAAGAAAAUAUAUGUAUAUAUAUAUAUAUAUAUAUAUAUAUAUAUAUAUAUAUAUAUAUAUAUGAGAUGACAAUUAACUUGGAGAGGUUAUUGUUUGCAGCGAACUUGAUCGCAUUAAUCGACAAACGACAAGAAGGGAACUGAGAGCUGCAGCAGCUACAUUGCAAUAUAACCAUGUGACUAUAUAGGCCUUAUUUUCUGCCAGAAACUUUAUGCCAAAUUCUUGCAUCUAUAAGUAGUAGGAUAUUAUACAUUUCUAUCUUACAUAUAUGAAAAGGUUGACUUUUGAGAUCAGUUUGACUUUUCUGAAUAUGAACUAGAAGAGUUGGGGGCCGAAAUAUCAAAUUAAGGUAUUCGGUGCUCAAGUUUGAAUACAUAUUUUUUGUUCGAUAUAAAUGUUGAGGCUCGGUUCAUAGUCGAGCUAUCCUAUCGAUUAUAGGAUAAAAAGAAGUGACAAUAAUAUAGUAUGUGUACAAUAAAUGAAGUUUGAUUUGUGUUCGGUUUGGGUAAAGCUCUAGUUUGAUUGUUUUAUUAAAUGAAAUUCAAAAUAUAACUUUGAAGCGGCAAUUAAAUCCUUAAAAUAUGGGGACUGAAUUGCAUUAUUUCAUCGUUAAAAAUAAAAUAAAAUAAAACCCUUCUUCACAAAAUCCGAUGCUCGCCAAGCACCACCGCAGAGAAAAUCCAUCGACGGGGUAGCUGAGGGGGGGAAUAACUGUUACAGAUGACGGAGGCGGCGCAAGAGGUGGCCUGGCGGUGGUGGAUUGGAGAAGCAGCGGCGACUAGUUUGGCCGCUAUUUUUGCUGUGAUUUUCUGGAAUUGCUGUCUGUCACAGAGAAAGAGAAAUGUCCGGCGAAUUAGGUUGUUGUUGUUGAGGUAUUAGCAUCGAGGUCGAGUGUGAAAACCUCCGGCGCGAUUUUUCCGGCAGGCUCGGGGCAGUUCUGCCAUUUCACAGGCAAAGAUGGAAAGGAAAUCGCGCCAGCAGCGCGUGAAAGACACGAUUUGCGAAUUAGGUAUCUCAAAGGGGUACGUAUUGCAAUUAUCUCAAUAAUAAUAACAAAUUGGGUAGUUAGUAGCAGUUACCCAAUAUAUUCAGCUCCAAACUCUCCUUGUGAUUUCCCGCUAAAUUUCACAAUCAAAAAAGUCCUUCGGGCUUGCAACUAACUGCUCACUGGUAGCAGUUACUAUUAAUAGUUCUCACCAUUUUUAAUAUUUUCAAGCUUCUCUUAUAGUUCUCUCUGGUUCCGAUCUUCAAGAAAGCUCUGCUUCAAUUCUUUCUCUAGGUAUAUAUAUAUAUAUAUAUAUAUUCUUGUAUUAGUAAAAUCCCCUAAAUUGAUCUCUGCUUUGCUUUCUCAUGCAGGUUUUUGAUUUUAAAUUUGAAGCUUGAAAAAAGGAAUUUCGCUACCAUGUUUCGAUCACCAAAAUCACCACGUGUUAUGACACCGCUAGAAAUGGUGAACGAGAAUCGAGAGUUCGAAAGGGUACUCCGGCUUGAAGCAAAUAUGACAAAAGUCAUCCGCGAUUAUGAAGCCAAGUUCAAUAGUUACGUUAAUGGUCGACGAGAUCAUUUUCGUCCGGUCAGUCAUAACUUUUUUCCUUUUUUUUUUAAAUCUGUAUAUACGAAUCACAUUUCAUUAAUAUAUAUAAUAGCUUAUUUCAAUUAUUCUUUGGCAUAUUUAAUCAUAAAUUGUUUUAAUUCUUGAAAAUGUGGCAGCCCAAUAUUGGUUUUUGGAGCAAAUUUGUUGGAAAAUUUUACGACCCGAACGCCGUGGAGACGUGGUGUUUCGAGAGAUGCGAAAACAGUGAGUUGUUCACAAAGCCCCGUACCGAUUUAAUUGGGGUAAUUUGAGUAAUUUCUUGGUUUUUUUUUUCCUUUCUUCUUUUCCCCUCAAAUUUCUUCUAUCUUGUUUUUAACUGUUUUUUUUUUGGUCAGAAUGUUAGCCUGUGUAACAUCUGUGGAUCGUUGUCGCGGAAUAUUCUUAGUAAGUUAUAAUCUGCUCAUCGAUCUUUAUUUAUCGAAAUAAACGGGAAAUUAGUUAGAUUAUUAUAUAUGAUCUCUUGUAGAGUAUAACUUAUAUAAUGUAGCUUGCUUUCUGAAUUUGUAGAGACAACUCCCGAGUCAAUGCCACUUGUAUUCGAAUCUUUAUACGAGACUCAGCUAAUGAGUGAUGUCAUCGAGUUAAAUGAGACUCGACAAGAGUUCUUACCAGAUGACACUUUUUUGUUUGAAAGCCACAAAUCUUGUAGAUAUAUGAUAUACAGAGAAUUUGACAUAAUUUUCAUGGGUACAAUUUGUAUCGUAUACACCAAGAGACACUCUCAGGUAUUUUUGAAGCUAAGAUAUAUAUAUAUAUAUAUAUGUAUAUAUAUAUAUGUGUAUAUAUAUAUAUAUAUAUAUAUAUAUAUAUAUAUAUAUAUAUAUAUAUAUAUAUAUAUAUAUAUUCGAAUUAAUAUGUUGUACUAGAUUAAUGUUGGAACUAUUUGUAUGUUUAUAUGAUUAUUAAUGCAGAUAUUAUCAUUGAGAUUUUGUGCUGAAGCUGUUAAAGUCAGUAUUCCAAGUGAUCAAAUACCACCAUCAUUGGUACGUAUAAUGUAUUUCUACAGCUUUCUCUUCGACCACUUCAGAAAUCUCGUCUGCAAAAAAACCCGUCUUUUUGUCUUCUUCUUUUGCAGUCAUUUUUAUAUCCGACGGUGUACGAACGCAAUGUACUAGUCAGUGCGGAGGCGUAUGUACCAAUCUUGUUGUGUAAUUAAUCCCAUUUAUUUCUUUAUUUUUCUGUAUAUUUCUUACAUAAAGAUUCUGUUUUUGUGCUUUGUUUGUUUUACGUCAGAUUUAAGCAUUACGCGACUGCUCGUAAGUUUAAUAUCAACUAUCAUAUCGACAGUACUUGUCUCCCUCGAUUACAUCGUGGAUGCUUUUUGGUAAGACCUAUAUAUAUAUAUAUAUAUAUAUAUAUAUAUAUAUAUAUAUAUAUAUAUAUAUAUAUAUAUAUAUAUAUAUAUAUUAAUAAAUAAAUCCAACAAAUAUUAGUUUCACUUUUGAAAAUAUGAUCGUUUCUCAUCUUCAGAAAGUUCAAAUGAUUGAGACUGCUCGUUUGAUGANNNNNNNNNNNNNNNNNNNNNNNNNNNNNNNNNNNNNNNNNNNNNNNNNNNNNNNNNNNNNNNNNNNNNNNNNNNNNNNNNNNNNNNNNNNNNNNNNNNNNNNNNNNNNNNNNNNNNNNNNNNNNNNNNNNNNNNNNNNNNNNNNNNNNNNNNNNNNNNNNNNNNNNNNNNNNNNNNNNNNNNNNNNNNNNNNNNNNNNNNNNNNNNNNNNNNNNNNNNNNNNNNNCAUAUACUAUAUAUAUAUAUAUAUAGAUAUAUAUAUAUAUAUAUAUAUAUAUAUAUAUAUAUAUAUAUAUAUAUAUAUAUAUAUAUAUAUAAUUCUUUUUAAUCCUCGUUUUAAGUCUUGAUUGUCGUUUAAUUGCUACAUGCGAAUUUACUUGAAGAAUAUAUAUUUAGAUUAUUCAAUAUGUUUGAACGUUAUUGUUUUCAGCGAACUACAAACUUUAUGGCAUAUGACGAAGGAGUCGAGAGCUGCAGCAGCUACAUUUGGCAUCUAUUAAUAAUCGAGGGGAAUAUCCAUAAUAUUUUGUGCUGGGGAAACAGAAUUAUGUUUAGAUUCAUGUUGGUUAUGUCUAUACAUUUCGAUCUUUGUUGUAUAUACACAUUACGGUACAUCUCGAUUUUACGUAUAUACUAUCAUUCUGAAAAGCAACUUUUGG